AGUAAAAUCAGCUAAUUAAGCUCCUGGGCUCAUACCCCAAGUAUGCAGGUUAAACCCUUCUUUUACUA
rnacentral:tRNA from 1 species